rnacentral:rRNA from 1 species
ACAUCCCGAGUGAGGGGCUCUGGGUCACCUCCCACCCGUGUUUAUUUUACCUUGUUGCUUCGGCGGGCCCGCCUUAACUGGCCGCCGGGGGGCUUACGCCCCCGGGCCCGCGCCCGCCGAAGACACCCUCGAACUCUGUCUGAAGAUUGAAGUCUGAGUGAAAAUAUAAAUUAUUUAAAACUUUCAACAACGGAUCUCUUGGUUCCGGCAUCGAUGAAGAACGCAGCGAAAUGCGAUACGUAAUGUGAAUUGCAAAUUCAGUGAAUCAUCGAGUCUUUGAACGCACAUUGCGCCCCCUGGUAUUCCGGGGGGCAUGCCUGUCCGAGCGUCAUUGCUGCCCUCAAGCCCGGCUUGUGUGUUGGGCCCCGUCCCCCGAUCUCCGGGGGACGGGCCCGAAAGGCAGCGGCGGCACCGCGUCCGGUCCUCGAGCGUAUGGGGCUUUGUCACCCGCUCUGUAGGCCCGGCCGGCGCUUGCCGAUCAACCCAAAUUUUUAUCCAGGUUGACCUCGGAUCAGGUAGGGAUACCCGCUGAACUUAAGCAUAUCAAUAAGUGGAGGAA